UACAGGGGGGGCAAGCGUUGUUCGGAAUUACUGGGCGUAAAGGGCCAGUAGGCGGCCAACUAAGUCCGACGUGAAAUCCCCAAGCUUAACUUGGGAACUGCGUCGGAUACUGGAUGGCUUGAAUUCGGGAGAGGGAUGCAGAAUUCCAGGUGUAGCGGUGAAAUGCGUAGAUAUCUGGAGGAAUACCGGUGGCGAAGGCGGCAUCCUGGACCGACACUGACGCUGAGGAGCGAAAGCCAGGGGAGCAAACGGG
rnacentral:rRNA from 1 species